rnacentral:rRNA from 1 species
CAGCAGUAGCCGCGGGAAUACGGAGGGUGCAAGCGUUAUCCGGAUUUAUUGGGUUUAAAGGGUCCGUAGGCGGAUCUGUAAGUCAGUGGUGAAAUCUCACAGCUUAACUGUGAAACUGCCAUUGAUACUGCAGGUCUUGAGUAAAUUUGAAGUGGCUGGAAUAAGUAGUGUAGCGGUGAAAUGCAUAGAUAUUACUUAGAACACCAAUUGCGAAGGCAGGUCACUAAGAUUUAACUGACGCUGAUGGACGAAAGCGUGGGGAGCGAACAGGAUUAGAUACCCCAGUAGUCCCUGUCUCUUAUAA